rnacentral:lncRNA from 1 species
GCAAAACACCCUUCCAACGUUGGGUUCACCUCACCCUAGUUGAUUCACCAAAUAUAACUACUAAAUGAUGACCACCGUUCUAUUAUCCUGUUACCUCUGCUCGACCCAGCUACACUCUUAUUACCUGAAAGGAAUUGUGAAGCAAAAGAGUGAGCACAACUAGCUCAGUAAAGAAUAUCAUGACAGAGAUUUAGAACAUAUGGUAGAUGAUAAAAAAAUUUCAACCAUAGUUGCAGUGGAACGAGCAAUCCAUUAG